AUUGAACGCUGGCGGCAGGCCUAACACAUGCAAGUCGAGCGGGGUUUUCGGACCUAGCGGCGGACGGGUGAGUAAUGCGUAGGAAGCUGCCCGAUAGAGGGGGAUACCAGUUGGAAACGACUGUUAAUACCGCAUAAUGUCUACGGACCAAAGUGUGGGACCUUCGGGCCACAUGCUAUCGGAUGCGCCUACGUGGGAUUAGCUAGUUGGUGAGGUAAUGGCUCACCAAGGCGACGAUCUCUAGCUGGUUUGAGAGGAUGAUCAGCCACACUGGAACUGGGACACGGUCCAGACGCCUACGGGAGGCAGCAGUGGGGAAUAUUGGACAAUGGGCGCAAGCCUGAUCCAGCCAUGCCGCGUGUGUGAAGAAGGCCUUCGGGUUGUAAAGCACUUUCAGCGAGGAGGAAGGGUGGUGUGUUAAUAGCACAUCAUUUUGACGUUACUCGCAGAAGAAGCACCGGCUAACUCUGUGCCAGCAGCCGCCGUAACAC
rnacentral:rRNA from 1 species